UAAUUAUACAGCAGUAUAUGCGUGGGUGAUGCCGAGGUUGUGAGUUCGAGCCUCACCUGUAGCAUGUUUUCUUCCUUUGGGC
rnacentral:miRNA from 1 species